ACUUAAAUAGUUUAAUAAAAAUUCUAAUUUGUGGAAUUAGAGAUGAAAAUUUUUUUCUUUGAGUA
rnacentral:tRNA from 1 species